UUUCAAUCCUGUCAGUUCCUACUUCUAAAUAGAUUCACUCGGAAUAUAUUGAGCACUGUCCAGAGUGGUUGGGGAAAGAAGGAGAUCCAGGUUAAUUGGCCAUGCUGUCCUUGGGUUCCUAUGUAUUUUCCUUGUAGAAUCUCAACUUUGAUUUCACUCGGAGUUACCUGGACUUGAUUGUAACUUACACCUCAGUCAUUUUACUUCUGU
rnacentral:lncRNA from 1 species